rnacentral:RNase_P_RNA from 1 species
UGAAAGGGUGCGGUAAGAGCGCACCGCGUUAAUGGUAACAUUAACGGCAUGGUAAACCCCACCUGGAGCAAGACCAAAUAGGGAAACAAUAGGUGUGGCCCACAUCGUUUCCGGGUAGGUUGCUUGAGAUAGAUGGCGACAUCUAUCCUAGAUGAAUGACUGUUUUUGACAGAACCCGGCUUAUAUGGCUAACUCUUCU